rnacentral:rRNA from 1 species
CCUACGGGCGGCAGCAGUGGGGGAUAUUGCACAAUGGGGGAAACCCUGAUGCAGCGACGCCGCGUGGGCGAAGAAGUAUUUCGGUAUGUAAAGCCCUAUCAGCAGGGAAGAAGAAAUGACGGUACCUGAGUAAGAAGCACCGGCUAAAUACGUGCCAGCAGCCGCGGUAAUACGUAUGGUGCAAGCGUUAUCCGGAUUUACUGGGUGUAAAGGGAGCGCAGGCGGCACGGCAAGCCUGAUGUGAAAGCCCGCGGCCCAACCGCGGGACUGCAUUGGGAACUACCGGGCUGGAGUGCCGGAGAGGUAGGCGGAAUUCCUAGUGUAGCGGUGAAAUGCGUAGAUAUUAGGAGGAACACCAGUGGCGAAGGCGGCUUACUGGACUGUAAAUGACGCUGAGGCUCGAAAGCGUGGGGAGCAAACAGGAUUAGAUACCCGGGUAGAC